rnacentral:rRNA from 1 species
UACGUAGGGUGCAAGCGUUAAUCGGAAUUACUGGGCGUAAAGCGUGCGCAGGCGGUUCGUUGUGUCGGCGGUGAAAGCCCCGGGCUCAACCUGGGAAUGGCCGUUGAAACUGGCGAACUGGAGUGUGGCAGAGGGGGGUGGAAUUCCGCGUGUAGUGGUGAAAUGCGUAGAGAUGCGGAGGAACACCAGUGGCGAAAGCGGCUUUCUGGUCCUUAACUGACGCUGAGGCGCGAAAGCAUGGGGAGCGAACGGG